rnacentral:rRNA from 1 species
AUUGCCCACAUAUCAGAUAUUAAACUGAUAAGAACAGAUACUACACUUGAUCUUAGCCAAAAGGCCGAGAAAGGUAUGAGUUGUUAG